UGGAAUGAGAAUCCUUCUACUCUCAUUUCCUUUGCAACAAAGACUUUUGAUGCUGGCCAAAUUACAUCAAAGCUGCAUGUUAUAGAUCUUGGUGCCCAACCAGGUUGUCCAGCGAUUCCAAGAACUGUUUGCGCAAACGAAGUAUAAAGAAGCUGUUGAACUUGCUGCUGAGUCUCCACAAGGAAUUCUUCGUACUCCUGAUACAAUUGCCAAAUUUCAGGUUUUUCCACUUUGCUUUUGUUGUCAUGUUGGUGUCAAGUUAUUCUGUAACUUUUUACUAUGUAUAUUUAAAGUAAUUCUCAAAUUCAGGUUGUGUAGACUGUAGAAUAGACAAACUCUCUGUCAAUGAUACAGAA